rnacentral:rRNA from 1 species
CAGUAGCCGCGGUAAUACGUAGGCAGCGAGCGUUGUUCGGAAUUACUGGGCGUAAAGAGCGUGUAGGCGGUGCUCUAAGUUCGGUGUGAAAUCUCCCGGCUUAACUGGGAGGGUGCGCCGGAAACUGGAAUGCUCGAACGUGGGAGAGGAAAGCGGAAUUCCUGGUGUAGCGGUGAAAUGCGUAGAUAUCAGGAGGAACACCUGCGGUGUAGACGGCUUUCUGGACCAUUGUUGACGCUGAGACACGAAAGCGUGGGUAGCAAACAGGAUUAGAUACCCCUGUAGUCCCUGUCUCUUAUAC